AACGAACGCUGGCGGCAUGCCUAACACAUGCAAGUCGAACGAGACCUCCGGGUCUAGUGGCGCACGGGUGCGUAACGCGUGGGAACCUGCCCUUAGGUUCGGAAUAACUCCCCGAAAGGGGUGCUAAUACCGGAUAAUGUCUUCGGACCAAAGAUUUAUCGACUUUGGAUGGGCCCGCGUUGGAUUAGCUAGUUGGUAGGGUAAAAGCCUACCAAGGCGACGAUCCAUAGCUGGUCUGAGAGGAUGAUCAGCCACACUGGGACUGAGACACGGCCCAGACUCCUGCGGGAGGCAGGAGUGGGGAAUAUUGGAAAAUCGGCGAAAGCCUGAAGCAGCAAUGCCGCGUGAGUGAUGAAGGCCUUAGAGUUGUAAAGCUCUUUUACCCGGGAUGAUAAUGACAGUACCGGGAGAAUAAGCACCGGCUAACUCCGUG
rnacentral:rRNA from 1 species